CUCUACUUGGUCUUCAACUCUGCCGUUUCUUAAUUUUGAACUGAACUUCUCCUUGCUUAUACGUUCUGUUGCCUCCGGCAAUAUAUGUGCACGAGUUCCUCAUCGCGCUGCGUGCUUCUCGUUUCCUUCUGGCUUCAUUCUGCGAACCAAUUCUCUUUGCGGAACCACAAUAAAAGUUUCAACGCUU